AUGGACACGCUUUGCUCCACACUCCUGCUGCUGACCAACCCUUCCUGGGUCUUGUCCCAGGUCACCUUGAAGGAGUCUGGUCCUGCGCUGGUGAAACCCACAGAGACCCUCAUGCUGACCUGCACUGUCUCUGGGCUCUCACUCAGCACUUCUGGAAUGGGUAUGAGCUGGAUCCGUCAGCCCCCAGGGAAGGCCCUGGAGUGGCCUGCACACAUUUUUUUGAAUGACAAAAAUUCCUACAGCACGUCUCUGAAGAACAGGCUCACCAUCUCCAAGGACACCUCCAAAAGCCAGGUGGUCCUUACCAUGACCAACAUGGAUCCUGUGGACACAGCCACGUAUUACUGCGCAUGGAGAGCAUAG